CGUAUCCUACGGGAGGCAGCAGUGAGGAAUAUUGGUCAAUGGGAGAGAUCCUGAACCAGCCAAGCCGCGUGAGGGAAGACGGCCCUAUGGGUUGUAAACCUCUUUUGUCGGAGAACAAAACCCGGGACGAGUCCCGGACUGCGUGUAUACGAAGAAAAAGCAUCGGCUAACUCCGUGCCAGCAGCCGCGGUAAUACGGAGGAUGCGAGCGUUAUCCGGAUUUAUUGGGUUUAAAGGGUGCGUAGGCGGAAUGCCAAGGCAGCGGUAAAAUCGCGGGGCUCAACCUCGCUACGCCGUUGAAACUGG
rnacentral:rRNA from 1 species